rnacentral:rRNA from 1 species
CGGCACGGGUGCGUAACGCGUAUGCAACCUACCAUCAACAGGGGGAUAACACUGAGAAAUUGGUACUAAUACCCCAUAAUAUCUCAUGCGGCAUCGCAUGGGGUUGAAAACUCCGGUGGUUGAUGAUGGGCAUGCGUUGUAUUAGCUGGUUGGUGAGGUAACGGCUCACCAAGGCGACGAUACAUAGGGGGACUGAGAGGUUAACCCCCCACAUUGGUACUGAGACACGGACCAAACUCCUACGGGAGGCAGCAG